rnacentral:rRNA from 1 species
UACAGAGGGUGCAAGCGUUAAUCGGAAUUACUGGGCGUAAAGAGCGCGCAGGCGGUCGUACAAGUCGCGUGUGAAAGCCCCCGGCUCAACUGGGGAGGGUCACGCGAUACUGUUCGACUCGAAGGCAGGAGUGGGAAGCGGAAUUCCCGGUGUAGUGGUGAAAUGCGUAGAUAUCGGGAGGAACACCAGUGGCGAAGGCGGCUUCCUGGCCUGUUCUUGACGCUGAGGCGCGAAAGCUAGGGUAGCAAACGGG